rnacentral:rRNA from 1 species
UGCUCCCUGAUGUUAGCGGCGGACGGGUGAGUAACACGUGGGUAACCUGCCUGUAAGACUGGGAUAACUCCGGGAAACCGGGGCUAAUACCGGAUGCUUGUUUGAACCGCAUGGUUCAAACAUAAAAGGUGGCUUCGGCUACCACUUACAGAUGGACCCGCGGCGCAUUAGCUAGUUGGUGAGGUAAUGGCUCACCAAGGCAACGAUGCGUAGCCGACCUGAGAGGGUGAUCGGCCACACUGGGACUGAGACACGGCCCAGACUCCUACGGGAGGCAGCAGUAGGGAAUCUUCCGCAAUGGACGAAAGUCUGACGGAGCAACGCCGCGUGAGUGAUGAAGGUUUUCGGAUCGUAAAGCUCUGUUGUUAGGGAAGAACAAGUACCGUUCGAAUAGGGCGGUACCUUGACGGUACCUAACCAGAAAGCCACGGCUAACUACGUGCCAGCAGCCGCGGUAAUACGUAGGUGGCAAGCGUUGUCCGGAAUUAUUGGGCGUAAAGGGCUCGCAGGCGGUUUCUUAAGUCUGAUGUGAAAGCCCCCGGCUCAACCGGGGAGGGUCAUUGGAAACUGGGGGAACUUGAGUGCAGAAGAGGAGAGUGGAAUUCCACGUGUAGCGGUGAAAUGCGUAGAGAUGUGGAGGAACACCAGUGGCGAAAGGCGACUC